CCCGCCCCAGCCCCUCCCAUGGAAGCAUCCGGCCAGGGGAGGAGAUCGGACGGAAUCAGUGCAGGGGGGGAGAUCGGACGGACUCAACCCUUUGACGGAGGCGGUGACACAGAGAGCAGGUGCUCCCCAGAUCCUGGCUACUGAGACCCUGAGAUUCCCCCCGCGAUGCCAUUUCUCCGCAUUCUCAGCACCGUCCUGGUUCUGCUCAGCUGCUGCUGAUCGCCCUGGGCUCUGACUACUGGGUGGCGGACAACAGCGGCGUCAAUAUGGGGCUGUGGAAGACCUGCGUCCAUUCACUGUGUGCACAAUAUUCUUCAGUACCAGAUUACUUUGACACCACCAGGGCUUUCCUGUUCCUGGCCAUGAUCGCCGGGUUUCUCUCCUUCUUCACUCUCAUCGCUUCGUUCUUCCGCUCCCACCUCGGCCCCGUGUCUCUGACCCUGGUCUCUGCCGUGGGCAGCUUCAGCGCAGGGCUUUGUGCCAUGAUCGCGCUGGCCGUGUUCACAGGGGAAGUAGCUAAGGCCAUGAAUGUCCCGUCGGGCCAAGUCUCCUUCGGCUGGUCCUUCGGCCUCGGCUGGGCCUCCUUCCCCCUCUUCCUCAUCACUGGUGAGUGCAACAUCGGGGAGGAAGUACCCAGGGAUCCCUUGC
rnacentral:lncRNA from 1 species